GGUAACCUACGGGACGCAGCAGUGGGGAAUAUUGCACAAUGGGCGCAAGCCUGAUGCAGCGACGCCGCGUGCGGGAUGGAGGCCCUCGGGUUGUAAACCGCUUUUGUUCAAGGGCAAGGCACGGUCCUUGGCCGUGUUGAGUGGAUUGUUCGAAUAAGCACCGGCUAACUACGUGCCAGCAGCCGCGGUAAUACGUAGGGUGCAAGCGUUAUCCGGAUUUAUUGGGCGUAAAGGGCUCGUAGGCGGUUCGUCGCGUCCGGUGUGAAAGUCCAUCGCUUAACGGUGGAUCCGCGCCGGGUCCGGGG
rnacentral:rRNA from 1 species